rnacentral:rRNA from 1 species
ACUCCUACGGGAGGCAGCAGUGGGGAAUAUUGCACAAUGGGCGCAAGCCUGAUCCAGCCAUGCCGCGUGAGUGACGAAGGCCUUAGGGUUGUAAAGCUCUUUUAGCAGGGAAGAUAAUGACGGUACCUGCAGAAUAAGCCCCGGCUAACUCCGUGCCAGCAGCCGCGGUAAUACGGAGGGUGCGAGCGUUAAUCGGAAUUACUGGGCGUAAAGCGCGUGUAGGUGGCUUGUUAAGCCAGAUGUGAAAGCCCCGGGCUCAACCUGGGAACUGCAUUUGGAACUGGCAGGCUAGAGUUUUGUAGAGGGUGGUAGAAUUUCAGGUGUAGCGGUGAAAUGCGUAGAGAUCUGAAGGAAUACCGGUGGCGAAGGCGACCACCUGGCCAAUAACUGACACUGAGACGCGAAGGCGUGGGUAGCAAACGGGAUUAGAUACCCUGGUA